CAGCAGCCGCGGUAAUACGAAGGGGGCUAGCGUUGUUCGGAUUUACUGGGCGUAAAGCGCACGUAGGCGGAAAUUUAAGUCAGGGGUGAAAUCCCGAGGCUCAACCUCGGAACUGCCUUUGAUACUGGGUUUCUUGAGUCCGGAAGAGGUGAGUGGAACUGCGAGUGUAGAGGUGAAAUUCGUAGGUAUUCGCAAGAACACCAGUGGCGAAGGCGGCUCACUGGUCCGGAACUGACGCUGAGGUUCGAAAGCGUGGGGAGCAAACAGGAUUAGAUACCCCCGUAGUCCCUGUCUCUUAUAA
rnacentral:rRNA from 1 species